AAUUGAACAACGCAAAUUCAACGUCCACGCCCCCCAACGUCCAGUAUCGGCCUGAGGCGCGCACGUCUUUCUUCGGGAGGGCGUCGCAUGCGCCCACGACGGCCGGGCACGCGACUUUUCGCGGGGGCUCAGGACGGAGAGGGAUGAAGUUUCUUUCAGCGAGCAAUCUUGGGUGCGGUGCUCCUCGGGCCUCGUGCCGACGUGAGGAGGAUCGCAAUGAUUGAGCGUACAU
rnacentral:sRNA from 1 species